rnacentral:rRNA from 1 species
UGGCAAAGAGGUCACACCCGUUCCCAUACCGAACACGGAAGUUAAGCUCUUUAGCGCCGAUGGUAGUUGGGGGCUUCCCCCUGUGAGAGUAGGAC